AAUGUCCAAUUGAUAUAGCCUGUCUUCCUUCUCAAGAUAUGUACCUUUUGACCCUCUUUAUCUUGUUAAACAAGUCGAUUUUCCCAUCCUGUAGUUUAUCUAUAAAUAAUAAUAAUGAUAAUUCAUUAACGAACAAAUUUCAUCACAAACCAUUCUUUGCUUUGCUCUAAUUUUAUAGUUCUUCUGUAACGCUUGCUGGCUAGUUUUCUUAUUGUAUUUUGCUACGUAUUUAAGAAGUCGAAUCAAUGGAAGCAGAAAAAGGACAAAAAGAAUGUGCUGUUUGCAACUCCACCAGUAACUUCUUGUGGAUGGAACAAGUCCAGUAAAGAAGGUAGCUUUAUGAGCAAUCUGAAGGAGCAAUUUCACGAUUUUGUGAAUACUCCUAUGGCUCAUCACAAAGUUUGCUUCAAAAAUACUAUUGACGGGGUGCCUAUAUAAUAAAUCCCAGAUCUAGAUGGUUGAGAAUAUUCGAAAGGAAGUUCAUGGGCUUAAAGGUGGGGAUAAUUCUUCAGAGGAGAGUCAUUAGAGCUUCGAAUCAUGGCACCACAUCCAGCUUUUAAUCAAUUUUAUUAGCAUUCUACUUCUUUUUUUCUUCUCAAAUGCCAUUCUUGUUCAAUGUUAGAUUGAAAAGUUUGCAAGUUGA